CCUUUAUGAAAACAGUACUGCACUUAAAAUGUUUUAAUUGAAAUAUAACUGAAAUUAUUUAGGCUAUGGCAUAUAGCCAUACCAAGCUGUCCAGCCUGUCCUUUAUGGAAAUAGUACUUAAAAUGCUUUAAUUGAAAUAUAACCGAAAUUAUUUAGGCUAAGGCAUAUAGCCAAUAGCAAGCUGUCCUUUGUGGAAACAGUACUUAAAAUGUUUUAAUUGAAAUAUAACUGAAAUUAUUUAGGCUAAGGCAUAUAGCCAUAGCGAGCUGUCCUUUAUGGAAAGUACUUAAAAUGUUUUAAUUGAAAUAUAACUGAAAUUAUUUAGGCUAUGGCAUAUAGCCAUAGCGAGCUGUCCUUUAUGGAAAGUACUUAAAAUGUUUUAAUUGAAAUAUAACUGAAAUUAUUUAGGUUAUGGC
rnacentral:lncRNA from 1 species